rnacentral:rRNA from 1 species
UGCCAGCAGCCGCGGUAAUACGUAGGGUGCAAGCGUUAAUCGGAAUUACUGGGCGUAAAGCGUGCGCAGGCGGUUAUACAAGACAGGCGUGAAAUCCCCGGGCUUAACCUGGGAAUGGCGUCUGUGACUGUAUGACUAGAGUGUGUCAGAGGGGGGUAGAAUUCCACGUGUAGCAGUGAAAUGCGUAGAUAUGUGGAGGAAUACCAAUGGCGAAGGCAGCCCCCUGGGAUAACACUGACGCUCAUGCACGAAAGCGUGGGGAGCAAACAGGAUUAGAUACCCUGGUAGUCCACGCCCUAAACGAUGCCGACUAGUUGUUGGGAAUUUACAUUCUCAGUAACGUAGCCAACGCGUGAAGUCGGCCGCCUGGGGAGUACGGUCGCAAGAUUAAAACUCAAAGGAAUUGACGGGGACCCGCACAAGCGGUGGAUGAUGUGGAUUAAUUCGAUGCAACGCGCAGAACCUUACC